CUCAAGCUCCCAUUGACUGGAGAGGAAAAGUAGGAUACAACCUUUUUAUGGCCAGAAAAAAAUGUUGGGGUGAAGAAAGACUCACAGCAGAUCCUGGAUGCCCAAUAGGACCCUGGAUCCCAGUUGGUCCUGGAGGACCCUGUUGAAAGAGAAAGUCCAGGUGGUCCGGGAUUACCCCCUCUUCCUGGUAGUCCAAUGCCUCCGGCUGCUCCAGAGGGACCUCGUUCUCCAGGAGGACCCUGUCAGGAGGGAAUAAAUCUAUGAACCCCAUCUCUCUAUCUGAAGUUAUCUCUAAUGCAGACCUCUCCUUUGAUUAAUGUUUGCUGUUACCCCAUUAAUUCAGGCUGCAACAUCAUGAGAAAGAAUUUGACUCCAAGAAUCCACCCUUGCUGCAGUAAGGGGUCUUCACUGAUAAUGGCACCACGGGCUCCUGUGAAGCCUCUGAUUCCAGGAGGACCUGGAAUGCCUGGGAUGCCACUAGGUCCAGGAUCACCCUAGAGAGAAGUGAACAAUAGAGUCAACAAUAGAAUGUUGAACCCAUUAAGGAAAUAUAGAGAAAGCAGCCAGACAAAUUUCCAAGGCAAGAAAUCAGCAAAGGAGAACAAGACAAAAAAGGAGGCAGUUAUCCACAGACCACGUGGCAACAACCAACCUUGAGAGGAAUUUACAUUAAUUGUCACGGUUCCAAUCGACAGAGACAAAUAAAGCAGAACUCCGAGGCUCGCAAAUUCCUCAAAGAACAUAUUUAUUGAUACAGAGUAUCGACACUUCAAAAGUGAAACCAACUCUGAAGAGAUGCAUAACAAUUCCCCAAUACAAAGUUAAGAAAUCCCACCCCUAAAGCUAUGCAAGCAACUACGUUUCCCAAUUCAGCUUGUUGGCGGACUUUUCAUGAAACGGCCAGCCCACAGUCUCAGGAGCAGCUGAUGACCUUGGUUCUCAUGAGAGAAAGUUGCAUAGAGAAAGUCUGUUUUGUCUAGUGCAGUGUUUCUCAACCUUGACAAUUUUAAGGCA